rnacentral:lncRNA from 1 species
GUGACGUCAUUACAUGGUUGGGCGUCCCGACGUGAAAGGUUGACUAUGCAAGAAGUGGCCAAGGUCUGAGGUCGCGUCAUGGAUAGAUUGGACAUCAUGACCUAGCUCACUAUUUUGAGUUGAGUAAUUGAAGGAGCUAGGUAACGUCGUGAUGUUGAAGAACCGAGGGCGUGGUAUGGAACAAUUCAGCAUUUGAAGGCAUCCAAGUCGGUGAGUGACACCAUGACGUUGAUUUGCUGGAAGUCGCGGUGUUUGCUUUUGAAGUCACAGUGUAGGAGCCUUGAUGCCAUGACGUGGGAGCUCUACACCUGGUCUAGGGAGAAGUAGGUUCGUGAGGCUACAUUGUCAAGUCUCAGAUCGAAGAUUCCUGAUGAUUAUAUAGGGGCAGUUUGUGGGAAAUUUGCCUUACAACCUUUAUAAAAUUAGAUUUUAAGUGAGGUUAUUUCGUCAUCAACCAAUCAUUAUAAAUGCUGAGGCAUCAGAAAAUUAGGAGAGAGAGCAUUUUUAGGAGAAUUACAAAGAUUGUUCAAUUUAUUUCUUUCAAUUUUCUAUUGAGUAUCUUAGUGUUCAACUUAGUUCUUGAUAUUGUUGGAGGAAUUUGUCCAUCUCUUUAUUGUGACAGACGGUGUAAGGU